UGUUAGCGCUCACGCUGUACUUCACGCUGAAUAAGGAUGAACCCGUGAGCUACCAUCACUCAAACACGCAAGCAGGAUGAUUGUUUCUCAUAACUUACAUAUAUUUAUACACCAUUGUUGAAUGAUGAAAAAGCAGAAUCAGGUCCAAGAUCUACAUACAUGUAUAUGAAGAAAUAAGAGAGAGAGUAGAGUGGACUCCCUCAAUCUGGUCAAAAGAAGGGGCAUUCUAACAUUAUCAAUUACACUAGCGAGUCGCUUUGUUGAACAAUAAUUUAAAAUUUUGAUUUAGAUCUAAUUCAUUUUAUCCAAGACUGUCACGUUGGACUGUUCGUGUCUGACAGCAGUUUGAUGUGGCAUGUUUUCCAUUGUUAACAACAUUGCUUUGGUUAUAAAUUAGUGAAUAUUUCAUUUAAGACCAGUGUUGAUUUCCAUUUGUUUGUUUUGGUGCGUGAACUAGAUUGCUAUAUCACAUCAAAAGUAUUGUUUAAACCUUUCUAUUACGGAAUCAAAAACAUGUACACGUAUCUAGAGGGAAAGGUUUGUGAAUGUUUUAUAUAAUUGUCAUCGAAGUUUGAUAAUGCAUUGGAGUAUUUUUGAGAAAUUUCCUGAAUUUUAACACAGAUUUUCUAAAGAAGAUUCGAAUUUUUAAUAAGUUGGAAUUGUAAUACAUCAUUUGUUUUUGGAUUUUUUUUUAGCUUCAUUCGUCUUUACCAGCAUUUUUCUAUAAGUGAUUUGUAUAAUGUCUAUUUCAUACAUAAAUUAGUCAUUUUUGUCAUAUAUUUAAAUUGGGUAUCAUUGUAUGCAAUUCAUAUGAGGUAUGUUAUAAUAUUUAUAUAUUGUACAAGAAGUCUUUGUGUAGAACCAUUCCAGCAAAUCUACAAUUUAUUUUUUUACGUAUUAAUUUUAGAUGAUUUUACUAAUGUUUGUUUUAAAAUUUUAACGAUUUUAUGUAUAUUGGACAUUGUCUUAAGAGGGAAAGGUAGGGUUCUCUUUGUUCGUUCAUGCGUCUAUGUGCUAGUCCAUUACAUGUAUAAGUUAACAAUUUCUUGUUCCAAACUUUCUGGAUUAAUGCAUAUAUGUACCUCUUGACCAUCUUAUUUAAAUAAAAGAUCUUCGAGAGGACUGGGUGGUGAACAAAUUAACCUUCAGAUCCAUAGAACUUUUAGAAAUGAUAUUUUGAGCUAUUAACUUAACUUAUAUAUAUUAUUGUAAAGUAAAAAUUCUAUAUAUGAGCUUUGAAAUUUAAGAAGUUUUUUCCAAAAUCAUACAUAGAGCUCUUCUUCCUUAGGAGAUCAAUAUAGUCUAAAAAUGACCACGACUAUCGACCUCUUUUAAAGCCUAAAAAAGAAUUGAAAUUUGACUUGUAUGCAAUCUAGCACUUCCAAAGUGUCGUGAUCUUUAUUCUAGGUCAUAUCUGAAAGAUUAAGGUCAAAGGUCAAACUGUCCAUAUGGUACUCGAUAUCUUUUGUACACUUGACUUAAUUUAUAUCAUAUUGUAUGGGUAGUACUUUUUUACAGCUUGCUUUCGUUUGAAUGUUACAUGGAAUGGCUGUAUGACCCUAUGACCUUUCACCUGUAAGAUGACGAUUGUGUUUCAUUGUGCUUGAAGGUUAUAGUUUAUAUUGAAGGUCAAGGUCACAGAUGUCAUUCACAAGGGAAAUAGCUUGCCUUGUCCAUAUCAUAAAAUAAUCAUGUAUAAGCAAUAAAGCAUAAUCUAUCGUAUCAACG
rnacentral:misc_RNA from 1 species